UUGAACGUAUCAAGAGCCUUGUUUAAAUAGUUCAUCUGAGUGAUCACACAGGUAACCACAACCAAGGUAAAGGCCCACGUUUGGGGGUAUACUAACUGAUUCAUCCCUGAGAAAGUUAGCUUCAGAGCAAUUCCAAUUGCUUUGACACCCAUGACCGAUAGUGAACCCACAAGUGAACAAACUGCUAUAUAGACCAUAACAUGAGUCUGCCCAUAUUGGGGUAUAACACGAACAAUGAUGAUGAAAACUGCUCCAAUGACAAAAGUAGCAUAGAAAAGAAAGGCUGGCUCUGUUGCAAGUUCCCACACUUCCUUGACAGACUCAAUCUCUCGCUCUUGAGGAGCAUGCAACACAAUUGUUGUUGAACCCACAACGCAUAAAGCACAACCAAGAAUCCCAAAAAUAUGCAAUUUCUCCCGUAAAAUAACAUGUGCUAGGGCAGCACUGAUAAUAAUGCUAAGGGCACCAAGAGGAGUGACCAGAAUAGCUGGAGCAAAUGCAUAAGCUGCAAAGUUAGCAAUUUCCCCAACAACCAUUGUAAUCAUGCCAAUCCACCAAAGUGGCUCAUACAGGUAAGAAUAACCCCCAGCACCUGCCCUGAGACCAGAAGCAGCAGCUUUUUUCAAACCCUUUUUCUUUACAAUAAAGCUUGCUCCAAUAAAGAAGCUGGAAGACAAAGCUAACACCAGCCCCUUUAUGUUAUCAGAAGACAUUCCCUUGUCUGAGUCCACCAUAGCUCUAACUCCUCAACAUCCAGAGACCGCCAAUAAUAUUUCACGUCAAAAGGUACCACUGCCACCGUUUCCAUUCCAUAAUUGAAUUCUCCCUCCCUACUGAAUUCUUAUAAGCAUUAUAUGGCGCGCAUAAAAAGCUAUGUGAGCAUGCGAUUAUCCCACUCCAAUGUGCAUGUACAGAGUCACAAACAGAGCCAGCGAGAGAUCUAGCAGAGAAAGGGGAAAUUGGGAUUUGGGAAGAUAUGGCGGUCGAUCGAGGUAUUUAGAUUUCCAUGGCAAGGAGACGAGAGACGGAAACUGAACUAGUUAAUUCGAUGAAAAGGAAAUU
rnacentral:misc_RNA from 1 species